UACGAAGGGGGCUAGCGUUACCCGGAAUCACUGGGCGUAAAGCGUGCGUAGGCGGUCUGGAAAGUUGGAAGUGAAAGCCCAGAGCUCAACUUUGGAAUUGCUUUCAAAACUACCAGACUAGAGUGUCAUAGGGGAUGAUGGAAUUCCUAGUGUAGAGGUGAAAUUCGUAGAUAUUAGGAGGAACACCGGUGGCGAAAGCGAUCAUCUGGAUGAAUACUGACGCUGUUGCACGAAAGCGUGGGGAGCAAACAGG
rnacentral:rRNA from 1 species